GACGAACGCUGGCGGCGUGCCUAAUACAUGCAAGUCGAGCGAAUCGAUGGGAGCUUGCUCCCUGAGAUUAGCGGCGGACGGGUGAGUAACACGUGGGUAACCUGCCUGUAAGACUGGGAUAACUUCGGGAAACCGGAGCUAAUACCGGAUACUUUCUUUUCUCGCAUGAGGGAAGAUGGAAAGAUGGUUCUGCUAUCACUUACAGAUGGACCCGCGGCGCAUUAGCUAGUUGGUGAGGUAACGGCUCACCAAGGCAACGAUGCGUAGCCGACCUGAGAGGGUGAUCGGCCACACUGGGACUGAGACACGGCCCAGACUCCUACGGGAGGCAGCAGUAGGGAAUCUUCCGCAAUGGACGAAAGUCUGACGGAGCAACGCCGCGUGAGCGAAGAAGGCCUUCGGGUCGUAAAGCUCUGUUGUUAGGGAAGAACAAGUACGAGAGUAACUGCUCGUACCUUGACGGUACCUAACCAGAAAGCCACGGCUAACUACGUGCCAGCAGCCGCGGUAA
rnacentral:rRNA from 1 species